rnacentral:rRNA from 1 species
GGGCCCGCACAAGCGGUGGAGCAUGUGGCUUAAUUCGAUGCAACGCGAGGAACCUUACCUGGGCUAAAUCCACAGUGAUGUCUUCUGGAAACAGGAGGUCCCUUAGGGGCACUAUGGAAGGUGCUGCAUGGCUGUCGUCAGUUCGUGCCGUGAGGUGUUGGGUUAAGUCCCGCAACGAGCGCAACCCCUGUGGUUAGUUACCAGCACGUAAAGGUGGGGACUCUAGCCAGACUGCCUACGCAAGUAGUGAGGAAGGUGGGGACGACGUCAAGUCAUCAUGGCCCUUACGUCCAGGGCUGCACACGUGCUACAAUGGUCGGUACAAUGGGUCGCCACCCAGCGAUGGGGCCAAAUCCAUAAAACCGAUCUCAGUUCGGAUUGGAGUCUGCAACUCGACUCCAUGAAGUUGGAAUCGCUAGUAAUCGC